rnacentral:rRNA from 1 species
UUAUACGACCGUACCGCAAACCGACACUGGUGCGCGAGAUGAGUAUUCUAAGGCGCUUGAGAGAACUCAGGAGAAGGAACUUGGCAAAUUGACACCGUAACUUCGGAAGAAGGUGUGCCCUAUUAGUGUGUAGUGAACAACGAAGCAUGAAUGGGUUGCAAAAAAUCGGUGGCUGCGACUGUUUAUUAAAAACACAGCACUCUGCAAACACGAAAGUGGACGUAUAGGGUGUGACGCCUGCCCGGUGCUGGAAGAUUAAAUGAUGGGGUGCAAGCUCUUGAUUGAAGUCCCAGUAAACGGCGGCCGUAACAAUAACGGUCCUAAGGUAGCGAAAUUCCUUGUCGGGUAAGUUCCGACCUGCACGAAUGGCGUUACGAUGGCCACACUGUCUCCUCCUGAGACUCAGCGAAGUUGAAAUGUUUGUGAUGAUGCAAUCUCCCCGCGGAAAGACGGAAAGACCCCAUGAACCUUUACUGUAGCUUUGUAUUGGACUUUGAACAGAUCUGUGUAGGAUAGGUGGGAGGCUUUGAAGCAGGGUCGCUAGAUCUUGUGGAGCCAACGUUGAAAUACCACCCUGGUGUGUUUGAGGUUCUAACCUAGGUCCAUUAUCUGGAUCGGGGACAGUGCAUGGUAGGCAGUUUGACUGGGGCGGUCUCCUCCCAAAGCGUAACGGAGGAGUUCGAAGGUACGCUAGUUACGGUCGGACAUCGUGACGAUAGUGCAAUGGCAUAAGCGUGCUUAACUGCGAGACUGACAAGUCGAGCAGAUGCGAAAGCAGGACAUAGUGAUCCGGUGGUUCUGUAUGGAAGGGCCAUCGCUCAACGGAUAAAAGGUACUCUGGGGAUAACAGGCUGAUACCGCCCAAGAGUUCAUAUCGACGGCGGUGUUUGGCACCUCGAUGUCGGCUCAUCUCAUCCUGGGGCUGUAGCCGGUCCCAAGGGUAUGGCUGUUCGCCAUUUAAAGAGGUACGUGAGCUGGGUUUAAAACGUCGUGAGACAGUUUGGUCCCUAUCUUCCGUGGGCGCUGCAGAUUUGAGGAAGCCUGCUCCUAGUACGAGAGGACCGGAGUGGACACACCUCUGGUGUAUCGGUUGUCACGCCAGUGGCAUUGCCGAGUAGCUAAGUGUGGAAGAGAUAACCGCUGAAAGCAUCUAAGCGGGAAACUCGUUUCAAGAUGAGAUCUGCCGGGGCCUUGAGCCCCCUAAAGAGUCGUUCAAGACCAGGACGUUGAUAGGUCAGGUGUGGAAGU